rnacentral:misc_RNA from 1 species
GCGGAAGCUGCGGCUGGAUCACCUCCUUUCUAGGGAUUCCGGAGCAAUUACUCCGGUGGCUCCUGGCUCGUUGAUGAAUUGCAUUGCUUCAAUGAUUCGUCCGAACAACCAGGUCGCCUAGAAUUAUGUCGACCUCGACGAGAGAAUCGCUGCUGAGUUUUGAGAGACCGUCCUGUGGGGCGGUUUUCUCUUGGGCGCUGAGCCCGCACGCACCUUGAAAACUCCAUAGCGACACACAACGUGUUCUUUUCGAUCAAGAGAACAAGAGCACAC